AUACGGCCAUAUCAUGUUGAAACACCGAUUCUCAUACGAUCACCGAAGUUAAGCCUGGUCAGUAUCUAGAUGGGUAACCGCUUCGGAAUAUCAAGUGCGGUAAG